rnacentral:snRNA from 1 species
UGAGUGUCAUUUCAGCAGCACAUAUACUUAAGGGGGAAAAAAUGGAAUGAUACAAAGAAAGCUAGAAUGACCCCCAUGCAAGGAUGACAUACAAAUUUGUGACAUGUUCCAUAUUGGG